rnacentral:rRNA from 1 species
AUUGAACGCUGGCGGCAUGCCUUACACAUGCAAGUCGAACGGCAGCACGGGGGCAACCCUGGUGGCGAGUGGCGAACGGGUGAGUAACAUAUCGGAACAUACCCUAGAGUGGGGAUAACGUAGCGAAAGUUACGCUAAUACCGCAUACGAUCUAAGGAUGAAAGUGGGGGAUCUUCGGACCUCAUGCUCAUGGAGUGGCCGAUAUCUGAUUAGCUAGUUGGUGAGGUAAAGGCUCACCAAGGCGACGAUCAGUAGCUGGUUUGAGAGAACGACCAGCCACACUGGAACUGAGACACGGUCCAGACUCCUACGGGAGGCAGCAGUGGGGAAUUUUGGACAAUGGGGGCAACCCUGAUCCAGCAAUGCCGCGUGAGUGAAGAAGGCCUUCGGUUGU